UACGGAGGCUGUAAGCGUUAUCCGGAAUCAUUGGGCGUAAAGCGUCCGCAGGUGGUUCAUCAAGUCUGCUGUUAAAGACAGAAGCUCAACUUCUGAUAGGCAGUGGAAACUGAUGAACUAGAGUACGGUAGGGGUUGAGGGAAUUCCCAGUGUAGCGGUGAAAUGCGUAGAUAUUGGGAAGAACACCAGUGGCGAAGGCGCUCAACUGGGCCGUAACUGACACUCAGGGACGAAAGCUAGGGUAGCGAAAGGG
rnacentral:rRNA from 1 species